UACGUAGGGUGCAAGCGUUGUCCGGAAUUAUUGGGCGUAAAGAGCUCGUAGGCGGUCUGUCGCGUCGGCUGUGAAAACCCGGGGGCUCAACCCCGGGCCUGCAGUCGAUACGGGCAGACUAGAGUGCGGUAGGGGAGACUGGAAUUCCUGGUGUAGCGGUGAAAUGCGCAGAUAUCAGGAGGAACACCGGUGGCGAAGGCGGGUCUCUGGGCCGAUACUGACGCUGAGGAGCGAAAGCGUGGGGAGCAAACAGG
rnacentral:rRNA from 1 species